CCGAGUUAUAAAACUCCCAAACCCCUGUGAACUAUACCGAUUGUUGCUUCGGCGGUGCCCUCGCCCCCGCGGUGAGGGCCCGCCAGAGGACCAAAAACCUUUGAAAUCUUGUUAUCGUUGGCACUUCUGAGUGAAGAAAAACAAAUAAAUCA
rnacentral:misc_RNA from 1 species